rnacentral:sRNA from 1 species
GUGCGCCUGUGUAUGUGUAUGAUAUAGUUUUUAGUAUAUGUACUUGUUAGUUUGUAUGCACACAUGCAUGAGGAUGCUGGUGCACAUAUGUUGCACAUGCAUGUGGAGCUCCACUUUGCCCGUCCGUUCUCCACAGUUCUCCAGUGUUAAUAUUUGAGACAGCGUCUCUGGUUGAACCUGUAGGCCAAUGACUGGGCUAGUCCAGCUGACUGACUAAAGAGCUUCAAGAACCCAAGUGUCUCUGCUACUCUCUCUCCCUGCGCUGGGGUUACAGGCAGGAACCCCUCCCUGUGCUGAGCCCUUCACCUGGGUUCUAGGGAUUGGAACUCAACUCCUCGUGCUUUCAGGGUAGGUACUUCGCCGGCUGAGCCAUCUCCCCAGCCGGUACAUCUGAUUUUAAGUGACCUUUAUCAGGAUCCAGCUUCUGCCUGUUCUACCAAAGCUGUCCUCAGACAGGCUACACCACUCCAAGUUCACAGCCAGCCGAAAUGAGUAUCUUUGUUCUAGGACAUCUGAGGGUGGCUCUGCUGGCUCUGGGUGCUCCCCUGCCUACUCCUGAGUUCACUGCCUUGGUGAAUGUCACCUGCUGUAGCUCAGGUUGUCGAUUCCCGAGUCAAGAGUGGAUGUAGCCCCCUGAGUGGUCUGUGACCCCCAGACGGGAAGGCAGGGCGCGCUUACCAGUUAAUGAACGCUGAACAGCUGAAAGGGGAAAUGUCCACUUUUCUGGUCAAACCCAGGGUCUAAUUCCACACACAUUAGAAGUCCUUAGAAGACCACUGUCUUCCCCGGCUGCUCUUGCUCCUGCCAUCUAGCUGUCUUGGCAAGGGUAGGAGCUUGGGAGAAGGAGGUAGGAGCCAUUGUUCCCCCAGGUGCCCUUUGUUCUUGUUGCCACAGGAUCGAGCAUCCUGACCCCUCUGUGUGCCACUGUGAUUCUGGAAAAGACACUCUUCCACUCGGAGUCACAGUUUCCUCUGCUGCAGAUACGGUUCGUGAUGUCCAUGCAACCUCUCUCAGGAGACAGGAAGUGGGUAGUGGGUGGCAGGACCAGAGACUCGUGUCUCCUCUUUUUUUUCUUUUUUUUUUUUUAAAGAGGUCCUUUAUUGAAAGGGGGGAGGAAGCCAGGAAGAGAACGCUUGGGUCUCCUCCUUAAGGCUGGGGCAGCUCUGAAGAAGCCACACAGAGUAAGGUUUUGUUUGUUUUGAACACUUUCGGUGCUGGCCCAGAACGCUUAAAGGAAAUGCUUUAAACGUGUUGGCAAUCUGUGCUCUGAGUGAGACCACGGCCUCUGAGCCCAGACAGAUCAGUCCAAGCUCUGGCCCUGCCCCAAGUGUUUGUGUGUUUAACUUCUCAAGGGUUUCCACUGAGGGGAACAAAAGCCCAGAAGUUUCCCCGAAGUCCUUUGGCUUAAUCCUCCCAAGAGUCAUUGAAGCCUCUCAAGAUUGAUCCAGAAAGUGGAGGACACUUCAAGACUCUGCUUUUCAUAUUUGUCUGUUCCUCUUCAACAAACCCACUUGAGGUUUUUGUUGUUGUUUUUUUUUUUUUUUCUUUUUAUGCCCCAGUGACAACAUAACACUGAAGUUCAAGAAUUAUGUCUAGGGUCACAGUGGCAGGAAGUGGCUGAACAGGGAGGCAUCUUUCAAGAAUCUUCUCUCCAUGCACAGAGAGAAAGAAAGAGCUAAGACUGCAACGGGCUCUCAGGCUGAGAAACCGGAAAGAACGGGUUUUGACAGCAUUCGACAGGAAGAUGGCAAGGUUUAAGCAAAGGGUGCAAACCACAGGCUGGAAGCUCCAGAUGCCUUGAUGACGUCACGCCCAUGGAGCCGGCCCUGUGCCUGACUUGAUGUUCAGCUGGAUUGAAAGUUGGAGCACAAAGGAACAGACAGUUUUAAGGGAACCAGCAGAUAAAUUUGUAUUUCUGGUUGGGUAAGAAGGAUGAAGACUUAACAAAAAUCAAACUACUGGUUUUUGUGGAUGAAAGUCCCUGGAAAGGAGAUAGAUGUACCCGCCUGACCACAGCAGGGAUCUCAGUAUCUGAGGUUCUAAUGUUCAGUAUCUAAUGUUCCAGGUCCUGAGCCAAAUUACUUUGGGCCAAUCAUUAGCCUCCUUAACAGCCACCGAUCGCCUUCUGUAUGCGCCCUAACAGCUCUGUGGCCCUUAGAAACGGAACUUCGUGAACGCGUGUGGCGAGAGCAUUAAAUAGACACCAGCUCUCCUGUGUUCUGCACUCACUUCCCAGGGAAGCCAUACACCUAAUAAACUGCCCAGCCAGAGCUGGCUUGCACUGCUGAUAGCCUCAGCAGGCACUGACCUUGGCACCGUGACAAGGGCAACAUUUCCAAGUGGAUGAGCGCCUCCUGAACAAAGUGUCCAAUGUACCAGGAAUAAACAGGCCUUUCAUCAACCGAGCCUGCGUGUUUUCUGGUUCCAACAGCCUUCCCCACUGCCGGGGUCAGAAAGCAGGGACAUCAACCAGCAGGGCCUCUUGGACAACCUGCUAGUCUUGCUCAUUCCUCCCAGAGGAUUCUGGGACUGAAUAGACUUGCAGGCCUCUGCCAUCACCUGUCAUGGCUGCAGUACAACUAUUUUAAACUUACGUUUGACCAGCUUAGGAAUGAACAAGACUCAGACUGUGGUUAUUUUAUUUGACUUUGACAAUUAUUGGGGGGUGACCCCUAAUCUACUUUUCUAACUGCUGGCCUGGCUACCUCCCCAGCGGUGUACCCCAAAUGCUUGCCGUUUCUCCUGGCCGUGUGCUCACGGUCCAUCUCCUCUCAUGGCGGCUUCCUCUCUCCUCCUCAUUUUCUCCUCCCCUCCACGCUCAACCAGGUAACUCAAAAACCCACCUCCCUCCAACCCCUACCCCCAGAAAUUGUCCGUAGUCAUUUUUAUUUAACCAAUAGUUUUAAAUUAAGGAACAGGGUUUGCACAACAACCGCUGGUAAAUUUGAGAAUUGCCUCGUAGGCUUAGACGUACGAAUUUAGUAUCCAAUACAUAGCGGCUCACCAAACUUCAACGCGAGGUUCCAUGAUUUCCCUUCUCCAUUUCUGCAAGAGUAGAACCGGAAAAGUGCGUUCCUUUACGCCUUGGUAAGAUCUGAGCAGGGGCAUUAGCUCCCCCUGUGGUGCAAAAGGGGAGUCUUGGGGCCACAUUCGCAAAACUCUGUACAGCAGCCCCAAAUAGGACAUCACAUCGUCAAGCACUGGCAGGGCCAACUUUUGAAAGGGACAGGUCACUAAGUCAGCCCCAAGGAGAGCAUGCACAGGCUUAGAGGAUAAGCUCCUGGA